UAGUAGUACUGUAUACCUUUAUUAAUCUCUUGCCCUUAUCCCGCCUUGGGAGCCUAGCGAGAAAAGGCACAUGGGUCAAAAUACACAGUCCAUCUCGUACAGCACAGGGGUGGAAGAAUAACACAUUCUUCCAGAUAUACCACUACACCAAGUACUAGUACAAUGGGUCCAUCUCUUAUACUUGGUCGCGUGACGUCUUGAUUUCUUUUCCUUGAACUCGACCGCCAGUCUUUCCUUACUCCUGAGGUCGAUAGUGAAGAAAUGGCGACCCUGCUGGACAAGCAAAGCGCCUCUUUUCUCUGCGAAGAAGACGAGGUUUAUUCUCUUGUUGUUACCCAAAUCCGCCAACUCAGAGCGUAGCCAGCCACCCUCACGGCCAUGGUCAGCAUGGCUACCGGCAUCUUCUUCUUGCUUGGUCCAGAGCUCCAGCAUGCCAUGCUCCCGUAUAUUGACAAACGAGAUACUCCCGCCUCCGACAGUGCAUAGCAAUGGAGGCUGUAGACCGUCAUGGCGGAAUUCGAUUGGUAUCUUGGUCAAAGAGGCAUGUGCCGUGGCGCUGCUUACGCCGAGUGCGUAGAAACUUGCGCUGUCGCUGUACAGCCAAUACGCAGUGCCGCCGUGGGUGACGACGCCGGCACGCGGCCCACACCUUGUAAG
rnacentral:lncRNA from 1 species